rnacentral:rRNA from 1 species
GCAAGUCGAACGGGAUCCGGGCUUUCGGGUUUGGUGAGAGUGGCGAACGGGUGAGUAACACGUGAGUAACCUGCCCCCUUCUUUGGGAUAACGUCGGGAAAUCGGCGCUAAUACUGGAUAUUCUUGCUGCAUCGCAUGGUGUGGUUUGGAAAGGGUUUCUGGUGGGGGAUGGGCUCGCGGCCUAUCAGCUUGUUGGUGGGGUGUGCCUACCAAGGCUUUGACGGGUAGCCGGCCUGAGAGGGUGUCCGGCCACACUGGGACUGAGACACGGCCCAGACUCCUACGGGAGGCAGCAGUGGGGAAUAUUGCACAAUGGGCGCAAGCCUGAUGCAGCGACGCCGCGUGAGGGAUGACGGCCUUCGGGUUGUAAACCUCUUUCAGUAUGGAACAAGGAUCCUUCUUUUGGGGGGUUUGAGGGUACGUGCAGAAGAAGCGCCGGCUAACUACGUGCCAGCAGCCGCGGUAAUACGUAGGGCGCGAGCGUUGUCCGGAUUUAUUGGGCGUAAAGAGCUCGUAGGCGGUUUGUCGCGUCUGCCGUGAAAUUUCCUGGCUUAACUGGGAGCGUGCGGUGGGUACGGGCAGACUGGAGUGCGGUAGGGGAGACUGGAAUUCCUGGUGUAGCGGUGGAAUGCGCAGAUAUCAGGAGGAACACCGGUGGCGAAGGCGGGUCUCUGGGCCGUUACUGACGCUGAGGAGCGAAAGCAUGGGGAGCGAACAGGAUUAGAUACCCUGGUAGUCCAUGCUGUAAACGUUGGGAACUAGGUGUGGGGUCCAUUUCCACGGAUUCUGCGCCGUAGCUAACGCAUUAAGUUCCCCGCCUGGGGAGUACGGCCGCAAGGCUACAACUCAAAGGAAUUGACGGAA